GACGAACGCUGGCGGCGUGCUUAACACAUGCAAGUCGAACGGACCUUAUGGAAUAGUUUACUAGGAAAUAAGGUUAGUGGCGGACGGGUGAGUAACACGUGGAUAAUCUGCCUGGCACACAGGGAUAACACUGUGAAAACGGUGCUAAUACCGGAUACGCUCUACUGAUUGCAUAACUGGUAGAGGAAAGGGGGAACCCGGUGCGAGAUGAGUCCGCGGCUGAUUAGCUAGUUGGUGGGGUAAGAGCCUACCAAGGCGACGAUCAGUAGCCGGCCUGAGAGGGUGAACGGCCACACUGGAACUGAGACACGGUCCAGACUCCUACGGGAGGCAGCAGUGGGGAAUCUUCCGCAAUGGGCGAAAGCCUGACGGAGCAACGCCGCGUGGGUGACGAAGGCCUUCGGGUUGUAAAGCCCUGUCUUAUGGGAAGAAAAAAUAGACGGUACCAUAGGAGGAAGCCACGGCUAACUAACGUG
rnacentral:rRNA from 1 species